rnacentral:rRNA from 1 species
UACGAAGGGGGCUAGCGUUGCUCGGAAUCACUGGGCGUAAAGGGUGCGUAGGCGGGUUGCUAAGUCAGGGGUGAAAUCCUGGAGCUCAACUCCAGAACUGCCUUUGAUACUGGCGAUCUUGAGUCCGGGAGAGGUGAGUGGAACUGCGAGUGUAGAGGUGAAAUUCGUAGAUAUUCGCAAGAACACCAGUGGCGAAGGCGGCUCACUGGCCCGGUACUGACGCUGAGGUGCGAAAGCGUGGGGAGCAAACAGG